UUCAGACGAUGCGUCAUGCAUAUCAAUAAGCGGAGGAAAAGAAACUAACAAGGAUUCCCCUAGUAACGGCGAGUGAAGCGGGAAGAGCUCAAAUUUGAAAUCUUAAAGGGUUUCCCUUUACGAAUUGUAGUUUAAAGAAGUGUUUUCUGUUGAGGUUUUGGUAAAAGUUCUUUGGAAUAGGACAUCAUAGAGGGUGAGAAUCCCGUAUUUGACCUUUACUUUCAACUUUGUGAUACACUUUCAAAGAGUCGGAUUGUUUGGGAAUGCAGUCCAAAAUGGGUGGUAAAUUUCAUCUAAAGCUAAAUAUUGGCGAGAGACCGAUAGCGAACAAGUACCGUGAGGGAAAGAUGAAAAGAACUUCGAAAAGAGAGUUAAACAGUACGUGAAAUUGUCAAAAGGGAAGCGUUUGACACCAGUGUUGUUUUUCUGAAAAUCAAUUAAAGAAUUGUUUAUGCUAAGUUGUUUAGACUUUAUCAGCUAACUGUUUAGUUUUGAGCUUUUCUUAAUGCACUUUUCAGUUAACAAGUCAACAUCAAUUUCUUUUGCUGUAAAAAAGCUUGAGGAAGGUGGCUUGAGAUUCGUCUUAAGUGUUUAUAGCCUCUUGCCUGUGCAGUCGGAGAGAUUGAGGUCUGCAGCGUAGAUCCUUCGGGGCUAAAUGCAUUUGUGCUAAGUUAUAGCAUUCUAUAGACAACUUGUUGACUAUGAUUUGUCUUGUAGCUUACUCGCUUAUGUUAUUUUACCUACGCUUAGGAUGUUGAAUCUGUGCGAGACUAC
rnacentral:rRNA from 1 species